rnacentral:misc_RNA from 1 species
AAAGUCGUAACAAGGUUUCCGUAGGUGAACCUGCGGAAGGAUCAUUAAAAGGUAUCUGCCCUUUGGUUGUAAAAAAGCCAAAUGGGUAGUCCCAGAUCAACCACUGUGCGCACAUAUUGAAGUUUUUUUUUGCUUUUGGUAGGCGUCGUUCAAAAUAAAUUUUUUUUUUUUUUUGAACGAUUCUGCCAUAAGUAAUGCCCAAUAUCAAUAUAUAAGCCUCAUUUUUGUGACUGAAAUUUUUUUAAAUAAAAAAAUACAACUUUCAACAACGGAUCUCUUGGCUCUC